rnacentral:rRNA from 1 species
GUGAGGAAUAUUGGGCAAUGGAGGCAACUCUGACCCAGCCAUGCCGCGUGAAGGAUUGACGGCCCUCUGGGUUGUAAACUUCUUUUGUACGGGAAUAACCCUCCGAACGUGUUCGGAGCUGAAGGUACCGUAAGAAUAAGGAUCGGCUAACUCCGUGCCAGCAGCCGCGGUAAUACGGAGGAUCCAAGCGUUAUCCGGAUUUACUGGGUUUAAAGGGUGCGUAGGCGGAUUGAUAAGUCAGUGGUGAAAUCCUGCAGCUUAACUGCAGAACUGCCAUUGAUACUGCUAGUCUGGAGUAUGGUUGAGGUAGCUGGAAUGUGUCAUGUAGCGGUGAAAUGCUUAGAGAUGACACAGAACACCGACGGCGAAGGCAGGUUACCAACCCAUUACUGACGCUGAGGCACGAAAGCGUGGGGAUCAAACAGGAUUAGAAACCCGUGUAGUCC